UACAGAGGUCUCAAGCGUUGUUCGGAUUCAUUGGGCGUAAAGGGUGCGUAGGUGGCGCCGUAAGUCAGGUGUGAAAUCCCGGGGCUCAACCCCGGAACUGCACUUGAUACUGCGGUGCUCGAGUACUGGAGAGGAGAUUGGAAUUUACGGUGUAGCAGUGAAAUGCGUAGAUAUCGUAAGGAAGACCAGUGGCGAAGGCGAAUCUCUGGACAGUUCCUGACGCUGAGGCACGAAGGCCAGGGGAGCAAACGGG
rnacentral:rRNA from 1 species